GAUGAAGAACGCAGCGAAAUGCGAUAAGUAGUGUGAAUUGCAGAAUUCAGUGAAUCAUCGAAUCUUUGAACGCACAUUGCGCCCUUUGGUAUUCCUUAGGGCAUGCCUGUUCGAGCGUCAUUUAAACCUUCAAGCUAAGCUUGGUGUUGGGUGACUGUCCGCCUCACGGCGGACUCGCCUCAAAAUUAUUGGCGGCCGGCGUACUUGUUUCGGAGCGCAGCACAUUUUGCGAUCCAGAUCAACGUACAGCGGCAUCCAAGAAGCCUUAUUUAACGCUCUUGACCUCGGAUCAGGUAGGGAUACCCGCUGAACUUAAGCAUAUCAAUAAGCGGAGGA
rnacentral:misc_RNA from 1 species